AAGGUUUUAAGUUAAAUAAACUAAUAGCCUUCAAAGUUAUAAAUAUAAGUUUAAAUCUUUUAAGCCUUA
rnacentral:tRNA from 1 species